UACGUAGGCAGCGAGCGUUGUUCGGAGUUACUGGGCGUAAAGCGUGCGUAGGCGGUGUUCCAAGUCUGUUGUGAAAUCUCCCGGCUUAACUGGGAGGGUGCGGCGGAAACUGGAACGCUGGAGUAUGGGAGAGGUAAGCGGAAUUCCUGGUGUAGCGGUGAAAUGCGUAGGUAUCAGGAGGAACACCUGCGGUGUAGACGGCUUACUGGACCAUAACUGACGCUGAGGCACGAAAGCGUGGGUAGCAAACAGG
rnacentral:rRNA from 1 species